AAAGCGCGUGUAGGCGGUUUCUUAAGUCUGAUGUGAAAGCCCUGGGCUCAACCCAGGAAGUGCAUUGGAUACUGGGAGACUUGAAUACGGGAGAGGGUAGUGGAAUUCCUAGUGUAGGAGUGAAAUCCGUAGAUAUUAGGAGGAACACCGGUGGCGAAGGCGGCUACCUGGACCGAUAUUGACGCUGAGACGCGAAAGCGUGGGGAGCAAACAGGAUUAGAUACCCUGGUAGUCCACGCCGUAAACGAUGAGAACUAGGUGUUGCGGGUAUUGACCCCUGCAGUGCC
rnacentral:rRNA from 1 species